UUCAAUUGGAAAAACUGAAAAAGGUUUUUCUUAUCUUUUCUUUUCCCAUAAUUUUACUUGUAUAUCUGCUCUUGUUUGCUCUCUCCAGCCCGGUUUCAAGGCAGUAGAGAACAGGAAUGAGGUUUUGAUAACUAGAAAUUAUAUCGAAAAAGACUAGGAAUACCCCUGCCACAAAAUCUUGCAGUAUUGCUGAGAGAAAAGUGAGUUUUUGAUGAACUCUCAUUGUGCUGCAAGAGAUGAAGGCAGGGGUGAACCUGAAAAGCUCAGAUUCUCUUACUACACAGCCGGUACCGGAGGUGUUGGUCGAACAGUAUUGUCGACAAGCUUUUUACUUCUCGAGAAGAGGUUAUUGUGUACAACAAAGACAUCUGCCAGAAGUAAGAAGUGCUCAUGAAGUUCUGGGAGUGGGAGUACCGACUGUCAGUGCUAGAUUAGGGACUGCACCCUUUUGGAACUGGGGAAUGCCAAGGCUUAAUAAACUAAAUUGGUUCAGGGAUAUCAACUUUUCAAGGACAACAUUGGAGCAUUUAGCCGACUCAUUUUGAGGGAUUAGCACAUUUGAGGGAUAUCAACUUCCUGUUUUUCCCUUAUUUUGCAGGAGUAGCAGAGUAAAUAAUCUGAAAGCAGGUUUUUCUACACAGUUGCAUUCUUCUCUCGACUUAAUUGAGCAACUACGAGAUUUCAAUGGCAGAAAAGUUGGUUAUUUAUUUAUAGAAAAUUUGAAAAAUUGAGGAAAUUUUGUAAAUGACAU